GUAGGGAAUAUUGGGCAAUGGAGGCAACUCUGACGCAGCCAUGCCGCGUGCAGGAAGAAGGCGCUACGCGUUGUAAACUGCUUUUAACCGGGAAGAAACCCCAGGACGUGUCCUGGGUUGACGGUACCGGAGGAAUAAGCACCGGCUAACUUCGUGCCAGCAGCCGCGGUAAUACGAAGGGUGCAAGCGUUAUCCGGAUUCAUUGGGUUUAAAGGGUGCGUAGGCGGAGCGUUAAGUCAGUGGUGAAAUCCUGCAGCUUAACUGUAGACUUGCCAUUGAUACUGGCGCUCUUGAGUGCGCUUGAAGUGGGCGGAAUGUGCCGUGUAGCGGUGAAAUGCUUAGAUAUGGCACAGAACACCAAUUGCGAAGGCAGCUCACUAAGGCGAUACUGACGCUGAGGCACGAAAGCGUGGGGAUCGAACAGGAUUAGAAACCCGUGUAGUCC
rnacentral:rRNA from 1 species